AGAGUUUGAUCCUGGCUCAGAGCGAACGCUGGCGGCAGGCUUAACACAUGCAAGUCGAGCGGGCACCUUCGGGUGUCAGCGGCAGACGGGUGAGUAACACGUGGGAACGUACCCUUCGGUUCGGAAUAACUCUGGGAAACUAGAGCUAAUACCGGAUACGUCCGAGAGGAGAAAGGUUUACUGCCGAAGGAUCGGCCCGCGUCUGAUUAGCUAGUUGGUGGGGUAAUGGCCUACCAAGGCGACGAUCAGUAGCUGGUCUGAGAGGAUGAUCAGCCACAUUGGGACUGAGACACGGCCCAAACUCCUACGGGAGGCAGCAGUGGGGAAUAUUGGACAAUGGGCGCAAGCCUGAUCCAGCCAUGCCGCGUGAGUGAUGAAGGCCUUAGGGUUGUAAAGCUCUUUUGUCCGGGACGAUAAUGACGGUACCGGAAGAAUAAGCCCCGGCUAACUUCGUG
rnacentral:rRNA from 1 species